rnacentral:rRNA from 1 species
AGUGAUUAGAGUUUGAUCCUGGCUCAGGACGAACGCUGGCGGCGUGCUUAACACAUGCAAGUCGAACGGUGAAGAGAAGCUUGCUUCUUGGAUCAGUGGCGAACGGGUGAGUAACACGUGAGCAAUCUGCCCUUGACUCUGGGAUAAGCGUUGGAAACGACGUCUAAUACCGGAUACGACCCUCGGAGGCAUCUCCUGGGGGUGGAAAGAAUUUUGGUCAAGGAUGAGCUCGCGGCCUAUCAGCUAGUUGGUGAGGUAAUGGCUCACCAAGGCGACGACGGGUAGCCGGCCUGAGAGGGUGACCGGCCACACUGGGACUGAGACACGGCCCAGACUCCUACGGGAGGCAGCAGUGGGGAAUAUUGCACAAUGGGCGAAAGCCUGAUGCAGCAACGCCGCGUGAGGGACGAAGGCCUUCGGGUUGUAAACCUCUUUUAGUAGGGAAGAAGCGAAAGUGACGGUACCUGCAGAAAAAGCACCGGCUAACUACGUGCCAGCAGCCGCGGUAAUACGUAGGGUGCAAGCGUUGUCCGGAAUUAUUGGGCGUAAAGAGCUCGUAGGCGGUUUGUCGCGUCUGCUGUGAAAACCCGAGGCUCAACCUCGGGCCUGCAGUGGGUACGGGCAGACUAGAGUGCGGUAGGGGAGAUUGGAAUUCCUGGUGUAGCGGUGGAAUGCGCAGAUAUCAGGAGGAACACCAAUGGCGAAGGCAGAUCUCUGGGCCGUAACUGACGCUGAGGAGCGAAAGCAUGGGGAGCGAACAGGAUUAGAUACCCUGGUAGAAUCG